rnacentral:tRNA from 1 species
CAUUAGGUGGCUGAUAAUAGGCGGGAGCCUUUUAAGCUCUAUAUGAUUUGUCCCUGAUGG